rnacentral:sRNA from 1 species
UGGUAGAUGCACCCUGAUUCAAUCCCUGGCGAACACGCUGGGGGUUUUUUAU